AUGCACGCUGGCGGCGUGCCUAAUACAUGCAAGUCGAGCGAACAGACGAGGAGCUUGCUCCUCUGACGUUAGCGGCGGACGGGUGAGUAACACGUGGAUAACCUACCUAUAAGACUGGGAUAACUUCGGGAAACCGGAGCUAAUACCGGAUAAUAUAUUGAACCGCAUGGUUCAAUAGUGAAAGACGGUUUUGCUGUCACUUAUAGAUGGAUCCGCGCCGCAUUAGUUAGUUGGUAAGGUAACGGCUUACCAAGGCAACGAUGCGUAGCCGACCUGAGAGGGUGAUCGGCCACACUGGAACUGAGACACGGUCCAGACUCCUACGGGAGGCAGCAGUAGGGAAUCUUCCGCAAUGGGCGAAAGCCUGACGGAGCAACGCCGCGUGAGUGAUGAAGGUCUUCGGAUCGUAAAACUCUGUUAUUAGGGAAGAACAAAUGUGUAAGUAACUAUGCACGUCUUGACGGUACCUAAUCAGAAAGCCACGGCUAACUACGUG
rnacentral:rRNA from 1 species